UCCCUGAUGGCUCAGUUGGUAAAGAAUCUGCCUGCAGUGCAGGAGACCCAGGUUCAAUUCUUGGGGUGGGAA
rnacentral:tRNA from 1 species